UCAGGACGAACGCUGGCGGCGUGCCUAACACAUGCAAGUCGAGCGAGGAGAUUCCUUCGGGAUGAUCCUAGCGGCGGACGGGUGAGUAACACGUGGGCAACCUGCCUCAUAGAGAGGAAUAGCCUUCCGAAAGGGAGAUUAAUACCUCAUAACAUUGCAGUUUCGCAUGGAACAGCAAUUAAAGGAGUAAUCCGCUAUGAGAUGGGCCCGCGGCGCAUUAGCUAGUUGGUGAGGUAACGGCUCACCAAGGCGACGAUGCGUAGCCGACCUGAGAGGGUGAUCGGCCACAUUGGGACUGAGACACGGCCCAGACUCCUACGGGAGGCAGCAGUGGGGAAUAUUGCACAAUGGGGGAAACCCUGAUGCAAGCAACGCCGCGUGAGUGAUGACGGCCUUCGGGUUGUAAAGCUCUGUCUUCAGGGACGAUAAUGACGGUACCUGAGGAGGAAGCCACGGCUAACUACGUGCCAGCAGCCGC
rnacentral:rRNA from 1 species